UUGUUUAUGACUUGAUUGCAAGCUAAGUGGGUAGAAAGAAUUUAGGUUAUUAGAAGCUUGAAUGGGAUAGAUGAUUGUAUGUUAGGAUGGGACUAUGUGUUGUAUGUGAGUGUUCGUGAAGUGUGGCAUGAUGAAGAGGAAGGAGUGUAAAUUCUGUUGGGAUGUUUGAUUGGCCGGUUGGGCGUGUGUGUGUGUGUGUGUGCUGGUUAGGCGUGUGUUAUUGUCGUGGGGUAGGGUGAGUGCCGCUAAGCGUACAAGCAUCGGCCUUGAGGGAUGACAGUAGCCGUUGUGUGUCCGGUAUUAGGCUUUCAGUGAGGGACAGCAACAGAAGUGAGGAAAUGAUGUUUGAAGUGUGUAAAUGUGAUGUGUUUGAUUGUAUGUACGUGUAGUGUAGCUGAUUGUUUAUCGAGUCUUGUUGAAUGUUCGAGUGGCUAAUC
rnacentral:lncRNA from 1 species